ensembl:snRNA U6 U6 spliceosomal RNA
GUGUUUGCUUUGGCAGCACAUAUACUAAAACUGGAAUGGUACCGAGAAGAUUAGCAUGGCCCCUGUGCAAGGAAGACAUGCAAAUUCAUGAAGCAUUACCUAUAUAU